CUUUUGGCAAGUAAAAAUCACCGUACAAUCUAGACAUAUAUCAAAGUUAGAAAAUAGAACAUAUUAUAAAUACAAUCAUAAUAAUGAAAGUAAUAAAAGCAUGGGAAAGUUACCAAUAAAUCCUAUAUGUUGAAAUUGUGCUCCAUUUAGUCUCAACUUUUUUUCUUUUGAUCUAUUUGAUCCUUUCUAUUGCUGAAUGACGUAAAUACCACUAUAUAUUUUUCUGAAUGCGUGAAUAGGUGAUUGUGUGGUGUGGCACAACCACAUGUUGGUGUGUUUCCCAAAUUGGUAUUUGCCACGUGUCAUAUUCAGGGUGAUCGCUAGGUGCCACAGCAUUGGAAAGUUCACUAAGGCUUUUUGUGCUUUCUUACUUUGGGGGGCAUGCUUUCCAUGUGGCACACAUAAUCCUAUUGAUGAAAUCCCCUAUUGGGUAUGGAUUAGGCAAGGUUUGACAACCAUAAUUUCUGGCGAUUGUGGAUUAGGUGAUUAGUGGCACUACAACAUAACGAUAGUCGAAGGAAGUUCGCAAAGGGAACGAGAGAGACGUUGAAGGAGGUGUUUAGAUUUGUCGGCCGUUGGAACGAUGGGUGGGGAAGAUGUUGACAUUAGCUGGAGUCCGUGGGCGCAUUCAUGUGAACGAAAACAUCUCAAAGGUGCAUGUGAUUUAAAACCAAACAGGCUUGGUGUUAACAUGCAAGGACGCAUAUUGUUCAAGAAAUCUAAAGUCAUCUAGCAGGAAGUUAGUGAACGAGGUGUUAAUCAUGCUGGCCUGCCGUCAUGCAGUGCACCUACAUGGAUUAAUUUCCGUCCAAACAUUGCGGGCAUUGUUAAGCUUGUAACAACAUCGCCGUUGAGGGGUGGUCAUUUUGAAUAGUUGAAAAAGACUUUAUUUUGGAUCAUGAUUGAGGCUCUGCGAAUAAACAAACUGAAUCACAAUGAUUUUAGGAAGUUUGACGAUGCAAUUUUGAAAAUCAUACGAACGUACGACAAAAAUUAUGACGCAUUCAACAUUGGUGGGGAGUUGUUGAAGCUCUGUAGGAGUGGUGUAAGACUUUUGUUUUGGGAUCCAGUGUGGUACUAAGCAUCUUGAUCUCUCCCCUUGUCAGAGGCCGACAUCUGAUUUCAUUCAGCAGAGAGGUCAUAACACCGUAAGCAUAACAUCGAAGAUUAUGAAGACAUUGCUCGAAGAAGCUGUAUGUGGGCGAAGUAAGGUAGACGAGGAGGACGCAACGAAGUUGUUGACACUGUAUGUGUAUGGGAAACUGUUCUUUGCUAAUUCUAGGGAAACAAUAAGUUGGGCAUUUGUGCAACACAUUGAUGACCUGAAGACUGUUCGUGCAUACAAUUGGACUGGUGCAAUACUACAAAUGUUGAUGGGUUUAAUCAAAGAUUUUCACCAUACGUCGGAAAAGGUCACUGGAUGUGUUGUUAUCAUGCUGAUAUGUAGUGUUCAAUGUUUUGCGACUAUUUGCAUUGUUUUACCCAUGCUUUUGUUGUUUUGCUAACGACGUAAUGUAAUGAUUUUUGUGCCUGAAACACAGUAUUGGAUCUGUGAACAUUCCAUGAUAGUGAAGCCAGAAACGGAGAAUAUGUUCCCAAGAUUCCUGAAAUGGGACAUUUGUAACAACCCCGACCCAUGAUUAAUGUUAAUCCAUGCUUA